rnacentral:rRNA from 1 species
ACUCCUACGGGAGGCAGCAGCGAGGAAUCUUCCACAAUGGACGCAAGUCUGAUGGAGCGACACCGCGUGAAGGAUGAAGGUCUAACGACUGUAAACUUCUUUUCUGAGGGAGCAUAAUGAGAGUACCUUAGGAAUAAGGGACGGCUAAAUACGUGCCAGCAGCCGCGGUAAU